rnacentral:rRNA from 3 species
AAAUUGAAGAGUUUGAUCAUGGCUCAGAUUGAACGCUGGCGGCAGGCCUAACACAUGCAAGUCGAACGGUAACAGGAAGCAGCUUGCUGCUUCGCUGACGAGUGGCGGACGGGUGAGUAAUGUCUGGGAAACUGCCUGAUGGAGGGGGAUAACUACUGGAAACGGUGGCUAAUACCGCAUAACGUCGCAAGACCAAAGAGGGGGACCUUCGGGCCUCUUGCCAUCAGAUGUGCCCAGAUGGGAUUAGCUAGUUGGUGAGGUAACGGCUCACCAAGGCGACGAUCCCUAGCUGGUCUGAGAGGAUGACCAGCCACACUGGAACUGAGACACGGUCCAGACUCCUACGGGAGGCAGCAGUGGGGAAUAUUGCACAAUGGGCGCAAGCCUGAUGCAGCCAUGC